rnacentral:rRNA from 1 species
UACGGGGGGGGCAAGCGUUGUUCGGAAUUACUGGGCGUAAAGGGCUCGUAGGCGGCCAACUAAGUCAUACGUGAAAUCCCUCGGCUUAACCGGGGAACUGCGUCUGAUACUGGAUGGCUUGAGAUUGGGAGAGGGAUGCGGAAUUCCAGGUGUAGCGGUGAAAUGCGUAGAUAUCUGGAGGAACACCGGUGGCGAAGGCGGCUCACUGGCCCGAUACUGACGCUGAGGCACGAAAGCGUGGGAGCAAACAGG